rnacentral:rRNA from 1 species
UACGAAGGGGGCUAGCGUUGCUCGGAAUCACUGGGCGUAAAGCGCACGUAGGCGGAUUGCUAAGUCAGGGGUGAAAUCCUGGAGCUCAACUCCAGAACUGCCUUUGAUACUGGCGAUCUUGGAGUCCGGGGAGAGGUGAGUGGAACUGCGAGUGUAGAGGUGAAAUUCGUAGAUAUUCGCAAGAACACCAGUGGCGAAGGCGGCUCACUGGCCCGGUACUGACGCUGAGGUGCGAAAG